rnacentral:rRNA from 2 species
CGCUGGCGGCGUGCCUAUUACAUGCAGUCGAGCGAACUGAUUAGAAGCUUGCUUCUAUGACGUUAGCGGCGGACGGGUGAGUAACACGUGGGCAACCUGCCUGUAAGACUGGGAUAACUCCGGGAAACCGGAGCUAAUACCGGAUAACAUUUUUUCUUGCAUAAGAGAAAAUUGAAAGAUGGUUUCGGCUAUCACUUACAGAUGGGCCCGCGGUGCAUUAGCUAGUUGGUGAGGUAACGGCUCACCAAGGCAACGAUGCAUAGCCGACCUGAGAGGGUGAUCGGCCACACUGGGACUGAGACACGGCCCAGACUCCUACGGGAGGCAGCAGUAGGGAAUCUUCCGCAAUGGACGAAAGUCUGACGGAGCAACGCCGCGUGAGUGAUGAAGGCUUUCGGGUCGUAAAACUCUGUUGUUAGGGAAAAACAA